rnacentral:lncRNA from 1 species
GGGAGGGCGAGGGGAGGAGAAAGCGGCGCGCGGGGAGCCCGGCCGCGCUCAGCCGCUCCUCACCUGGGCCGCCGCCGCCGCCGCGCCGUUUCCGUGCUGCUGCUGUUGCUGCUGCUGCUGUAGAUACUCGCCGUGGCCGCCGCCGCCUCCGCCGCCGUCCACGUCCAAGGUAUGCCUGCUGCUCAUGGGGGAAGAAGUGAGCUUGUAAUCCCUUUGGAGCUAGAGUUACAGAUGGCUAUGAGUUGCCACAGGGAUCCUGGAGAUUUGACCGAGAAGACCACUCACAGAUUGAUCCUCUUGUUCCACGAUGUGAGUUGCAGAUAUCAAACUCAGGUGGCCAGGCCUGGCAGCAAGCUCUUCUGGCUGUUCAGCCAUCUCACUGGCCCUGUGAAAAUCUUUUGAAGAUGGACUCACAUGAGCACAAGUUCAGAAAUGAAUAGUUUGAAAGUAGGUUGGUGGAAAAUAAAUAAAUAAAUAAAGACAAUGGAAUGGAAAGAAGCAAAUCUCCUGCAAGCUUGUUUAAUAUACACUAACAGUGAAUACAUUAGAAGGCCAGAUGAAUAAACAG